GACGAACGCUGGCGGCGUGCCUAAUACAUGCAAGUCGAACGCAGUGGGGACGGGUGAGUAACACGUGGGUAACCUCCCAUCAGAGGGGAUAACACUUGGAAACAGGUGCUAAACCGAUACUGAUGGAUGGACCCGCGGUGCAUUAGCUAGUUGGUGAGGUAACGGCCCACCAAGGCCACGAUGCAUAGCCGACCUGAGAGGGUGAUCGGCCACACUGGGGCUUGUACACGGCCCCGACUCCUACGGGAGGCAGCAGUAGGGAAUCUUCGGCAAUUGACGAAAGUCUGACCGAGCAACGCCGCGGGAGUGAAGAAGGUUUUCGGAUCGUAAAGCUCAGUUGUUAAGGAAGCGGUACUUAACCAGAAAGGGACGGCUAACUACGUGCCAGCCGCCGCGGUAAUAC
rnacentral:rRNA from 1 species